GACGGAGGGUGCAAGCGUUGUUCGGAAUUAUUGGGCGUAAAGAGCUCGUAGGCGGUUUGUUGCGUCGGCUGUGAAAUCCCGAGGCUCAACCUCGGGUCUGCAGUCGAUACGAGCAAACUAGAGUGUUGCAGGGGAGACUGGAAUUCCUGGUGUAGCGGUGAAAUGCGCAGAUAUCAGGAGGAACACCGGUGGCGAAGGCGGGUCUCUGGGCAACAACUGACGCUGAGGAGCGAAAGCGUGGGGAGCGAACAGG
rnacentral:rRNA from 1 species